UGGCUCAGGACGAACGCUGGCGGCGUGCCUAAUACAUGCAAGUCGAGCGGACAGAUGGGAGCUUGCUCCCUGAUGUUAGCGGCGGACGGGUGAGUAACACGUGGGUAACCUGCCUGUAAGACUGGGAUAACUCCGGGAAACCGGGGCUAAUACCGGAUGGUUGUCUGAACCGCAUGGUUCAGACAUAAAAGGUGGCUUCGGCUACCACUUACAGAUGGACCCGCGGCGCAUUAGCUAGUUGGUGAGGUAACGGCUCACCAAGGCGACGAUGCGUAGCCGACCUGAGAGGGUGAUCGGCCACACUGGGACUGAGACACGGCCCAGACUCCUACGGGAGGCAGCAGUAGGGAAUCUUCCGCAAUGGACGAAAGUCUGACGGAGCAACGCCGCGUGAGUGAUGAAGGUUUUCGGAUCGUAAAGCUCUGUUGUUAGGGAAGAACAAGUGCCGUCAAAUAGGGCGGCACCUUGACGGUACCUAACCAGAAAGCCACGGCUAACUACGUGCCAGCA
rnacentral:rRNA from 2 species